CGUAUACUUUAAGAAAUUUUU
rnacentral:piRNA from 1 species